UGACUGUGACUGUGACUGCUGAGGAGUCUGCGCCGUCCUGUCACUGCCUGCUGACCCGGGGUCCAUGAAACCUGCGCAGAGAUUGAUGCCAGUGCUCUGGGAUGGCUGAAUACCAACAGGAUCUUCAGCACUUGCCCUUAGUUGAGUCCUUUAUCGAAGGUGUAAGCAACCAAGUGGUUGUGGCCGUCGUCGUCAGUUUAAUCUUUAUUGCUGCUCUCACAUAUUUCAUGUUACGAAAUGAGCAGCAAAACAUUCACCCCGAAAACCAAGAAAGGGUACGCGCCAUUAGGGAGCAACUUCAAAAUGAACAGGAAACAACUGUCCAAUCUCGACCUCAGUUCUACUCGGAUAUGUCUUGUCCAGUCUGUUUGCAGCAGGCUACAUUUCCAGUGGAAACAAACUGCGGACAUCUUUUUUGUGGUCCAUGCAUUAUUGCUUAUUGGAGAUAUGGGUCAUGGCUUGGUGCCAUUAGCUGUCCUAUUUGCCGACAAAUGGUAACUUUAUUGUUUCCAGUAUUUCAAGCUGGCGAGCAGCAGGAUGCCCAAGAGAUAUUUCAGGAAGUUAAUAGUUAUAAUAGAAGAUUUUCUGGUCAGCCACGAUCUUGUCCGGCAAUGGUCCGUGCAGAGACGGGUGUGCAUGGAUUUUGGACAACAAAACUGUGGGAGCUGCUUGUGCUGGUCAUCGGAUCAAACAAAAUCCCCUCUACUGGUCUGGGCUGUCCAGAUCCCAUUCACCGUGUGUGCGUACCCUCAUGUAACCACUGCUCCCAACACCUCCUAUCAGCUAGGUCAGAACAGCCUAGAUUGCGGGCAGUUCAUCAAAAUGACUAUUCUAUUCUCCCAUGUGAUGUGCCCCCGAUCAAAGUCUAUUGACUGGGCAAAAUGUCUUGGAGUGCAUUGCAGAGGCAUGUCUAGCAGUCAACGAUCUCUCACCAACAGCUCGUGGAUAGAAUUAUGGACUUACCAACACUGCUACGCCAUGCCUUCCGUGAAAUGUUUUCAGUUGGUGGCUUAUUCCGGAUGUUCCGAAUAAGGAUUGUACUCUGUCUGCUUGGAGCAUUGUUCUAUCU